rnacentral:rRNA from 1 species
AUACGAAAGGUGCAAGCGUUGUUCGGAUUUACUGGGCGUAAAGAGAGUGUAGGUUGUUUAUUAAGUCGGAUGUGAAAUCCCGGGGCUCAACCCCGGAACUGCAUUCGAUACUGAUAGGCUAGAGUUCGGGAGGGGUAAGCGGAAUUCCGUGUGUAGCAGUGAAAUGCGUAGAUAUACGGAGGAACACCUGAGGCGAAGGCGGCUUACUGGACCGAUACUGACACUGAGACUCGAAAGCGUGGGUAGCAAACAGGAUUAGAAACCCCAGUAGUUC